GACGAACGCUGGCGGCGUGCCUAAUACAUGCAAGUAGAACGCAGUUGCGAACGGGUGAGUAACGCGUAGGUAACUGCCUGGUAGCGGGGGAUAACUAUUGGAAACGAUAGCUAAUACCGCAUACUACCAGAUGGACCUGCGUUGUAUUAGCGAGUUGGUGGGGUAACGGCCCACCAAGGCAACGAUACAUAGCCGACUUGGGAGGGUGUGCGGGCACACUGGGACUGGGACAAGGCCCAGACUCCUUCGGGAGGGUGCAGGAGGGGAUCGUCGGAAAUGGGGGGGAGCCUGACCGAGCAACGCCGGGUGAGGGAAGAAGGUCUUCGGAUCGUAAAGCUCUGUUGGUCAGGGAGCGGUACUUGACCAGAAAGGGACGGCUAACUACGUGCCAGCAGCCGCGGUAAUAC
rnacentral:rRNA from 1 species